AUUGAACGCUGGCGGCAUGCCUUACACAUGCAAGUCGAACGGCAGCACGGACUUCGGUCUGGUGGCGAGUGGCGAACGGGUGAGUAAUGUAUCGGAACGUACCUUUCAGUGGGGGAUAACGUAGCGAAAGUUACGCUAAUACCGCAUAUUCUGUGAGCAGGAAAGCAGGGGAUCGAAAGACCUUGCGCUGAUUGAGCGGCCGAUAUCAGAUUAGCUAGUUGGUGGGGUAAAGGCCUACCAAGGCGACGAUCUGUAGCGGGUCUGAGAGGAUGAUCCGCCACACUGGAACUGAGACACGGUCCAGACUCCUACGGGAGGCAGCAGUGGGGAAUUUUGGACAAUGGGGGCAACCCUGAUCCAGCCAUGCCGCGUGAGUGAAGAAGGCCUUCGGGUUGUAAAGCUCUUUCGGCCGGGAAGAAAUCGCAUAGGCUAAUACCCUGUGUGGAUGACGGCACCGGAAUAAGAAGCACCGGCUAACUACGUG
rnacentral:rRNA from 1 species